GUGGAUUAGAUACCCGGGUAGUCCAUGCCGUAAACGUUGGGCGCUAGGUGUGGGACUCAUUCCACGAGUUCCGUGCCGCAGCUAACGCAUUAAGCGCCCCGCCUGGGGAGUACGGCCGCAAGGCUAAAACUCAAAGGAAUUGACGGGGGCCCGCACAAGCGGCGGAGCAUGCGGAUUAAUUCGAUGCAACGCGAAGAACCUUACCAAGGCUUGACAUACACCGGAAUGUGCCAGAGAUGGUGCAGCCUUUUGGCUGGUGUACAGGUGGUGCACGGUCGUCGUCAACU
rnacentral:rRNA from 1 species